rnacentral:pre_miRNA from 1 species
CCACCUCCGCAGGCUGGCUGGUCCCUGGGUGGGGGUGGGACAAUAUCUCUUCAAAAGGCUCACCCUCAAGCACAGCUAGGAGU